GACGAACGCUGGCGGCGUGCUUAACACAUGCAAGUCGAGCGGAAAGGCCCUUUCGGGGGUACUCGAGCGGCGAACGGGUGAGUAACACGUGAGUAAUCUGCCCUUGGCUUUGGGAUAACCACCGGAAACGGUGGCUAAUACCGGAUAUGACGCGCUCCGGCAUCGGGGUGUGUGGAAAGUUUUUUCGGCCAGGGAUGUGCUCGCGGCCUAUCAGCUUGUUGGUGGGGUAAUGGCCUACCAAGGCUUCGACGAGUAGCCGGCCUGAGAGGGUGACCGGCCACACUGGGACUGGGACACGGCCCAGACUCCUACGGGAGGCAGCAGUGGGGAAUAUUGGACAAUGGGCGGAAGCCUGAUCCAGCAACGCCGCGUGAGGGAUGACGGCCUUCGGGUUGUAAACCUCUUUCAGUACCGACGAAGCGCCGAUGAUGGUGGUGACGGUAGGUACAGAAGAAGCACCGGCCAACUACGUGCCAGCCGCCGCGGUAA
rnacentral:rRNA from 1 species